rnacentral:rRNA from 1 species
CUUUUGGAGAGUUUGAUCCUGGCUCAGAGUGAACGCUGGCGGCAUGGUUAAGACAUGCAAGUCGAACGAAAAGCAAAUCUUCGGAUUUGUGGAAAGUGGCGAACGGGUGCGUAACACGUGAGCAACCUGCCCUAAAGUGCGGAACAGCCUGUCGAAAGAUGGAUUAAUGCCGCAUGUGGCUCUUCUUCGCAUGGAGAAGUAGCUAAAGCUUGUAAUGGCGCUUUAGGAUGGGCUCGCGGCCUAUCAGCUUGUUGGUAAGGUAACGGCUUACCAAGGCUAAGACGGGUAGCUGGUCUGAGAGGAUGAUCAGCCACACCGGGACUGAGACACGGCCCGGACACCUACGGGUGGCAGCAGUUUCGAAUCAUUCACAAUGGGCGAAAGCCUGAUGAUGCAAUGCCGCGUGGAGGAUGAAGGCCUUAGGGUCGUAAACUCCUGUCAUUGGGGAACAACAAGUAGGUUCAUAGCCUAUCAUGAGUUAACCCAAAGAGGAAGAGGUGGCUAACUCCGUGCCAGCAGCCGCGGUAAUACGGAGACCUCGAGCGUUACUCGGAUUCACUGGGCGUAAAGGGUGAGUAGGUGGCCAAGUAUGUCAGGUGUGAAAUCCCGGGGCUUAACCCCGGAACUGCGCCUGAAACUACUUGGCUAGAGUCUCGGAGAGGAUAGUGGAAUUCCAAGUGUAGCGGUGAAAUGCGUAGAUAUUUGGAGGAACACCAGUGGCGAAGGCGACUAUCUGGACGAGUACUGACGCUCAAUCACGAAAGCAUGGGUAGCGAAAGGGAUUAGAUACCCCUGUAGUCCAUGCCGUAAACGUUGCACACUAAGUUUCGGAGGAUUCGACCCCUUCGGAGCUCAAGCUAACGCGUUAAGUGUGCCGCCUGAGGACUACGGCCGCAAGGCUAAAACUCAAAGGAAUUGACGGGGGCCCGCACAAGCGGUGGAGCAUGUGGCUUAAUUCGAGGCAACGCGAAGAACCUUACCUGGUCUUGACAUGCCUGUCAUAGUUUUCCGAAAGGAUUACGUCAGUUCGGCUGGACAGUGCACAGGUGCUGCAUGGCUGUCGUCAGCUCGUGUCGUGAGAUGUUCGGUUAAGUCCGGCAACGAGCGCAACCCUCGUUCCUAGUUGCCAGCGGGUAAUGCCGGGGACUCUAGGAAGACAAACCUCGUGUAGAGGUGGGAAGGUGGGGACGACGUCAAGUCAGUAUGGCCCUUACGACCAGGGCUGCACACGUGCUACAAUGCCUGGUACAAUGGGAUGCAAUACCGCGAGGUUGAGCCAAUCCAUAAAGCCAGGCCCAGUUCGGAUUGGAGUCUGCAACUCGACUCCAUGAAGUUGGAAUCGCUAGUAAUGGCGUAUCAGCAACGACGCCGUGAAUACGUUCCCGGGCCUUGUACACACCGCCCGUCACAUCAUGAAAGCCGGUUCUGCCCGAAGUAUAUGAGCCAACCGCAAGGAAGCAGUAUCCUAAGGUGGGGCUGGUGAUUGGGAUGAAGUCGUAACAAGGUAGCCGUAGGGGAACCUGCGGCUGGAUCACCUCCUUU